UACGUAGGGUGCAAGCGUUGUCCGGAAUUAUUGGGCGUAAAGGGCUCGUAGGCGGUCCAUCACGUCGGGAGUGAAAAGCUGGGGCUUAACCCCAGUCCUGCUUCCGAUACGGGUGGACUAGAGGUAGGUAGGGGAGAACGGAAUUCCUGGUGUAGCGGUGAAAUGACGCAGAUAUCAGGAGGAACACCGGUGGCGAAGGCGGAUCUCUGGGCCUGUUCUGACGCUGAGGCGCGAAAGCUAGGGGAGCGAACAGG
rnacentral:rRNA from 1 species